rnacentral:rRNA from 1 species
UAGGGAAUCAUCCGCAAUGGGCGAAAGCCUGACGGUGCAACGCCGCGUGAACGAUGAAGGUUUUCGGAUCGUAAAGUUCUGUUAUGAGGGAAGAACACGUGCCGGUCGAACAGGCCGGCAUCUUGACGGUACCUCACGAGAAAGCCCCGGCUAACUACGUGCCAGCAGCCGCGGUAAUACGUAGGGGGCAAGCGUUGUCCGGAAUUAUUGGGCGUAAAGCGCGCGCAGGCGGUCUCGUAAGUCUGAUGUGAAAGCCCACGGCUCAACCGUGGAGGGUCAUUGGAAACUGGGAGACUUGAGUGUAGGAGAGGAAAGUGGAAUUCCACGUGUAGCGGUGAAAUGCGUAGAUAUGUGGAGGAACACCAGUGGCGAAGGCGACUUUCUGGCCUACAACUGACGCUGAGGCGCGAAAGCGUGGGGAGCAAACAGGAUUAGAUACCCCUGUAGUCC